rnacentral:tRNA from 1 species
AAGGGAGACCUAAUUCGGGUAUAAGACGAAAAAAUAGUAGUCGAAACCAAGAAUCAAUCCCAAAAGGUCGGAGCGAGGCGAAAUUGGCUUUCAAACUAGGUUCUGGGUUCAAACAAGACCUGAAUCAGGAACAAGGGCUAUUAGCUCAGGUGGUUAGAGCGCACCCCUGAUAAGGGUGAGGUCCCUGGUUCGAGUCCAGGAUGGCCCACCUGCACAGGUGGCAAAAACAAAGAAAAGAAGCUCCGAAUCAGCACCUUAUCUUACUUAUAUAUAGUAAGAGAGAAUGCUGGCUCUGAGUUCAGAGUCCAGAGGAACCUUGAAAACUGCAUAGAGCUAGGUGAAAAAGCCAAAAAAGAAGACCGCAA